rnacentral:rRNA from 1 species
GAAGUAAAAGUCGUAACAAGGUUUCCGUAGGUGAACCUGCGGAAGGAUCAUUAAUGAAUUCACUAUGGAGUUGUUGCUGGCCUCUAGGGGCAUGUGCACGCUUCACUAGUCUUUCAACCACCUGUGAACUUUUGAUAGAUCUGUGAAGUCGUCUCUCAAGUCGUUAGACUUGGUUUGCUGGGAUGUAAACGUCUCGGUGUGACUACGCAGUCUAUUUACUUAUAACACCCCAAAUGUAUGUCUACGAAUGUCAUUUAAAGGGCCUUGUGCCUAUAAACCAUAAUACAACUUUCAACAACGGAUCUCUUGGCUCUCGCAUCGAUGAAGAACGCAGCGAAAUGCGAUAAGUAAUGUGAAUUGCAGAAUUCAGUGAAUCAUCGAAUCUUUGAACGCACCUUGCGCCCCUUGGUAUUCCGAGGGGCAUGCCUGUUUGAGUGUCAUUAAAUUCUCAAACUCACUCUGGUUUUUCCAAUUGUGAUGUUUGGAUUGUUGGGGGCUGCUGGCCUUGACAGGUCGGCUCCUCUUAAAUGCAUUAGCAGGACUUCUCAUUGCCUCUGCGCAUGAUGUGAUAAUUAUCACUCAUCAAUAGCACGCAUGAAUAGAGUUUGGCUCUCUAACCGUCCGCAAGGACAAUUUGACAAUUUGACCUCAAAUCAGGUAGGACUACCCGCUGAACUUAAGCAUAU